AAACAUAUUUUUUUAUCAAAAUGGCAACACAAUUUUAUUCGAGAUAUCGAAAGUGCUUAAAAAAAAAAUAAACAAACUCAAUGUUUACAUAUUUUCCAUGUUUUUUAAUCAAAAAAAAAUAAACAAACUGAUAAUUUUUCAGUUUUAAAAAAAGCAUAUAAUGGCACAUAAGGGAUUUGAUAAAUCAACUGGAUCCAGUGUUAGGUGAUUUCAUCUUUAUUUAUCCAUCCAAUAAACAUUGUUCGAGACUCUCCCUGGAUCCAAAAUAUGUAUGUGUGUAUUUUCUAAAUUGGUGUAUGAAUGAACAUCACCAACAUUCAACGAAACCGGUGACUCUACCCAACUCUACCAAAGUACCAACAAGUGAAGUGGGUAACAGUUUGCCAUUCAACUUGUUACUAUCGAGACAUCGAAAUUCAGGAGCGUAAUUAAAAUAUAAAGAUAAGUAUUUAACAACAAAAUAUAAAUAUUAUUUAAAUAGUAUUAGUUAAUUAUUUUUAAAUUAAACAA